CUCUCCCUCCCCCGGCCCUCCUGCUGAUGAGAGACAGGAGCGAUGGAUGGUCUGAGUUAGCGGGGUCCCGGCACCACCCAGCGCAAAGGCACUGCACUCACGCACGCCAUGCACAUGCUGGCUCACCUCCUCCAUCCCAUGCCUCCCCUGUCUCCAGCAUUCCCUCUGGAAUACAUCAGCACUGUUGCCUUUGAGGCUGGCCUGCUUGAAUGCACACCUGAGCUCCGGAUUCACAGUGGAGGAAGCCAGAUGCCAUGUCAUGAGGGUGCUCAAGCAACUUUUUGGAGAUGUAUGUAUGGAGAGAAACUGAGGCCUCCUGCCAACAGCCAGCACUAACUUGGCAAGCAUGUUUGAGAGCCACCUGGGAAGUGGAGCCUUCAGCCCCAGUUAAGCCUUCAGAUGAGACUGCAGUCCUGGCCACCAUCUGGACUGCAACUUCACAAGAGCUCCUAAGCCAGAGCCAUGCAGAUGGAUUCUUGGCCCCCAGAAAUUGUGCCACUACAUUUUGGGAAAUUUAUUAUGCAGCCAUAGAUUACCAAUACACUCACUAUUUCUUUUUUCUGAUGCCAUACUA
rnacentral:lncRNA from 10 species